AUGCGGCGACGCAGAGCGGAACCCGAAAACCUGUCUCAGUUCGGAUUGGAGUCUGCAACCCGACUCCAUGAAGCUGGAUUCGCUAGUAAUCGCGCAUCAGCCACGGCGCGGUGAAUACGUUCCCGGGCCUUGUACACACCGCCCGUCAAGCCAUGGAAGCCGGGAGUGCCUGAAGUGCGUGAGCGCAAGCAGCGCCCUAAGGUAAAACCGGUGACUGGGGCUAAGUCGUAACAAGGUAGC
rnacentral:rRNA from 1 species